rnacentral:lncRNA from 1 species
GGGGUAUUCACAGUGUAUUAGGUCUUGAGGAGACUCUCUGUGCUUAGUGACUCAGAACAAGUGGGUGGAACUUGUAUAUGGGUGGUUUACAGGGUCUUCAGAUGCUAGUAGGCUGGGAGGGUGGUUUACGGGGUAUUCAGGGUGUAUUAGGUCUUGAGGAGACGCUGUGUGUAAAGGUGGCAGUAAUGGAACAGGUGUUAAUAUGUUCUCUGCAGAAUAAUAAGGAUACUGACGAGCUCCUGGAGAACCUGAGCAGCUGCCCGAACUCUGAGGACCAGUGUGAUGAUCUCUGGAGCAUGGACGAUGUCCUGGACUGUGUAUCUGCCACUCCACCCGGCACUACAGCAGCGGCAGCAGCAGCAGAGGAGGAGGAGGUGGGGGGCCGGGGCAGCGCGGCGGCGGUACAGUGCGUCAUCCCCGUCUACAUCGUUCAGGUCGGCCCUGAUCACACCCUGGUUUAUCAGACGAGAUGAAGCUGAACCACUGCUGGGAUUUUUUUUUUUUUUUCAGCACUGGGUGAAUUCUAAUAUGGUACAAAAUACGUUUAAAUACUGCUGAAAAAAGAAUACUAAUAUUAAUACUAAUUAUAAUUUAAAUUAUUCUGUUUAGCAGAUAUCAGCAGGCAGAAUUAGUUAGUUUGUGAUUUAUUGUAUUUAUUUGUGAUGUAAAUGCAUUGAUUUUUGAUUUAGUUUGUUCAUAUGAGCACCACUGUACAUAAGUAAUAAAUAAAUAAACACCAGCA